AGUGAACGCUGGCGGUAGGCCUAACACAUGCAAGUCGAACGGCAGCACAGUAAGAGCUUGCUCUUACGGGUGGCGAGUGGCGGACGGGUGAGGAAUACAUCGGAAUCUACUUUUUCGUGGGGGUUAACGUAGGGAAACUUACGCUAAUACCGCAUACGACCUACGGGUGAAAGCAGGGGAUCUUCGGACCUUGCGCGAUUGAAUGAGCCGAUGUCGGAUUAGCUAGUUGGCGGGGUAAAGGCCCACCAAGGCGACGAUCCGUAGCUGGUCUGAGAGGAUGAUCAGCCACACUGGAACUGAGACACGGUCCAGACUCCUACGGGAGGCAGCAGUGGGGAAUAUUGGACAAUGGGCGCGAGCCUGAUCCAGCCAUACCGCGUGGGUGAAGAAGGCCUUCGGGUUGUAAAGCCCUUUUGUUGGGAAAGAAAAGCAGCAGGUUAAUACCCCGCUGUUCUGACGGUACCCAAAGAAUAAGCACCGGCUAACUUCGUG
rnacentral:rRNA from 1 species